rnacentral:antisense_RNA from 1 species
ACACAUAGGAACCUCCUCAAAGGAUUCUAUGACAGUCGAUGCAGGGAGGGACAAGCUCCCUGCAUCGGCGAUUUU